CACACACUAUUGAGAGUCUACUAGUUGAAGCCGUGGAUGAUGAGGUCACUCACGAAAAGCCUUUUAAGUGAGAGAAAAGUAUUCAGGAUGAAAUCCCUGUGAAACACACGCCUUUCAGGAUCAUUGGAAGGGAAAAAGACUUGAGAGAAGAACCGAGAGAUUGGUAUCUGGGAAAUAAGAGACAAGUUUCUGGAAGAGUGGGACGGUGAUGAAUGCUCCCAAGAGGUCGAGGCAGCCAGUGAAUCCUCUGGAUUUGACAAAGAGAAGUGCUCUUUGUGUGAACAGCUGCACAUCGGCGGCGUGGUGGUGGCGGUGGUGGAAACCAGAUGGCAGUGGUCCCAGGGCCUGGCAGGCAGGAGACCAAUGAAAGAACAAUAGGCUAAAGAAUGAGGGGAUCAUCAGGCAUCCUGAACCGGGAGAACAGGGCUCUCGCUGGAACUGCACCCAUCACCGCUGUGGAGCCGGGGCCUCGCUUCUCACAAAGGGCUUCCAGCCACAGAUGAGCACAGUAGACUACUCUGAGGGGUGGAUAUGAUUGUUAUGGCUGGUGCUCAGCAACCACCUUGGACCUUGAGGAUCAAUUUAGAGAAGGCUGACUAUGAGCUGGAAAAUAUGUAAGUUCCUAACAACUUUGUGAAGCCACCAUGCUGGUCUGGGGCUGCCUACCCCAAGAUUUCUUUUCUGUGAAAGAGCAAUACAUUUCUACCUUUAACCCAAUGUGAAAACAAUUUUUGUUGUUCUUGUAAUCAGCUAAACUUAAUUCUAAUGGAUACAGGCUUGUUUACUAUCACUUACCUCAUGUGGAGAGUUAUUGACCCGCCUGGGCAGAAUGGGAUGAAGUGAUCUCACUGUGGGCGAUAGAGCCAGGAGGCAUCCUGGUCUUGGUUUAGUGUCUAUUCAUGUCUAUUCCUGCCUUGUGCUGUCUCCUGAAACCCAUGGUCUGUGGACCAACCUACCAGCAUAGCUUGUAA